rnacentral:lncRNA from 1 species
AAAUUUUUCGAUUUUGCUAAUUUAUUACUAAACCUUUAUGUAAAAUUACAAUAUAGUCCUUUCGACUUAUAUUUGUCAAAAAUAGCUGAGUGGUGGUCUGAUCAUCAUCGAUUGUCUUACGUAGCACGUCACUACGUAAGCGAUUUUAAGUGAAGAUUGACUGAAGGACUAGAUUUAGAAUGUUACGCAAAAGUUUAGAAAUAAAUUAGCAAAAUUAAAAAUAUAGGACUAAAUUGACAUCCGUAUAAUAGAUUUAGGACUAAUUGAAUAAUUUCCCAUUAUUCAAAGAAUAUACCCAUGGUGAUAAUAUUUUUCAUUAUAUAUAUAUUUUUAAUUUUCAUUUUGGAAAGCCUAAUACGAUUUCUUUUUUGUUUAUUUUAAUUGAUAAAAGAUGAUGGAAUGUGACGUGAGAGAAUGAGAAUAAAUCAUUAUAUACCUCUUCCUUUGGGACGAAUACGACCAUUCUUCCUUUGUUUCCGGCCAAUACCAAGCUGUUUAAAAGUUCAAUGCUCAGGUUUUUGGGCCAAUCCAUUUUUCGUUACUCAUCAAGCUAGAAAUUAGAGUGCUGAAGGCAGCGAU